CGUCAUUCUUUUUCCAUCUCCGCAUGCACGUCCCAGGGAUUCUCCCGGGAUUUAUAGCAUUAUUAUAGCUAAAUGAUCAAUACAGCUUCCAAAUUAUAUAACUAUACGCAUGCGCUAUAUUUGGAGCAUUAUUGAUUUCAUUUAUUCCGGGUCGUAUCUCGAAUCACAUCCCGGGUCGUAUUCCAGGUCGUAUCCCCGGUCUUUUCCCAGGUCUUUUCCCAGGUCUUUUCCCAGGUCUUUCCGGAUCGAUCGUUAUAACUAAAUGUGCAGUACACGUAAUAUAUUCGCUUAUUCGCUUGCUGUGCCUUGUGCGAGUUGGAUGCGUCCAACGGAAGAUGAGUUCGGUUGCGAGGAUGAGUAGUAUAAAACAUUCUACGAAUAGAAAUAUUUAAUAUAAUUGAUAUUCGUGAUAUUAAAGCCGUUAUCGACAAUUAUACACGACAUGGAAAAGAAGCUAUUUUUGGUGAAAGUAUCUCCUUCUUCUGUGGACAAAUUAUAUUUAUCCAAGAAGACUAAGUUUAAGGGCGAUUAAAACGAUCUUAUAUAUCCAUGCACGAUAACGGAACCUUUCCUUUCUAAUAUGAAAUUGAGAUGAAUUGCAAAAUAUUUUUUAUUGCAAAAAUGAGAAUAAUUCUGAUCAAUGAGAUAUUCCUGCUGAAAAGUAUUACACUGCAAAGAAAGUUGAUAUUAUUAUUUAUCAAGUAAAAUAACCCAAAAUUUCUAUUUGGGCUUGAUAUUUCCAGUAGAAAUUAAUAAUGAGAAGUUUUGUUGCGGGAAUAAAAGUAAUGUUGGAAGGAAAGAUCAAUAACGACGAUGACUGUAAGAUAACAAAGGAUUGUCAGUUAAAUAGACGUACGAAUGAAUUGGUUCAUCUGCAGCAAGUGAUUAAUGAAAAAAUUAAUAAGAAAGAAGUAUUCUACAGCUUCGAACUUUUUCCGAUGAAAGGAUCUAGCGAUAUUUAUAAAAGAUUCUUUGCAGAGAUGGACAAAUAUUCUCCUUUGUUUUAUGCUCUAACUUGGCAUACUAAAGGUCUUAUAAAUUCUUAUUUAUCCUUGGAUAUAGUUGAACAAUUUCCUUCUCGUACGUUAUUACAUGUAGCGGCUAAAGGUUUGAAACGAUCCAACGUAGAAAUGAUAUUAAAAAGAGCGUACAAUCUUGGAAUAAGAAAUAUUUUUGCACUUCAAGGAGAUUCGAUACUCGAAGAUGGUGAUUUUCCACAUGCUAUUGAUUUAGUCAAAUUUAUUAGAUCAUGUUUUGGUAAAAAAUUUAGUAUUUGUGUUGCGGGUUAUCCCGAUAUGCAUCCGUUAUCGCCAAACAAAGAUUUUGAUCUCUUUUAUCUAAAAGCAAAAGUUGACGCAGGUGCAGAUUUUAUAAUAACACAAAUAUUUUUUGAGUCUGAUACAUUUAUAAAUUUUGUUAAUGAUUGUAAAAAUAUUGGAAUAACAAUUCCUAUUAUUCCUGGUAUUUUUCCUAUACCAGAGUAUAAAUGUUUACAAAGAAUGACUAAUAUUUGUCGCUUACAUAUACCAAAGAAAAUAGUUGAUCGUUUAGAGACAAUAAAGGAUGACGACGAAGCAGUAAAGAAUUUUGGAAUUGAAUUCGCAAUCGAUUUAAUUAAGGAUAUUCUCGAGAGCCGAGCUUCCUAUGGUUUUCACUUAUUUACAUUAAACAAAAUACCAAUGGCUCAAAAUAUAUGUAAUCAGUUGAAUCUAACCUACCAAUUACAUUCAGAACAGUUAUAAAUUUAUAUCAAUAAUAUUCAAUCAAUAAUAAUAAUAAUAAUAAUAAUAAUAAUAAUAAUAAUAAUAAUAAUAAUAAUAAUAAUAAUAAUAAUAAAUAAUAACAAUAACAAUAACAAUAACAAUAAUAAUAAUAAUAAUAAUUAGUAUUAUUAUUUCAACUAAAUAUGACAUUUCUGAAUACACUAUAAACAAAGUUAAAUCUCAUUCGUUUCUUUCUCUACAAAGUAUGUUUGAUAUUACAUAUUGAUUCAUGAAACAUUGUUACUUAAAGUAUUUUGAUUUUUUUAAAGAUGUCAUUGCUGUCGUCUACCAAUUAUUGUCUCUUAAAGACAAGAAGAAAUGAAAAAGAAAUUUGAUACAUUUUGAACUUUUACUGUAAAGAAGGACUCAAGUUGCUAAGAAAAUUUCUUUGUGUUCAUAUUUUGUUAUCGAUGUAUUAUCAAAGUUCUGUCACCUAUUUGACUGAAGCGUUGUCAAAAUGAUAUUACUAGACAAGUGACAUUGCCAAAGAUGUAAUCAUCGAUCACAAAAUAGUUUUAAAUCAUUUGAAAAGGUCACCAGCAAAGGAAAAAAAAGAUCUGACGUUUGAGAGCCGUUGAUUAAAUAAUGGAAACUUCAAUAGAGCGAAUUUCGAAGCAUUCAUUAAACAGCUCAUUAUGGAAUAUAAUAUACGAAAAAAAUCAUAAUUAUGAGAAGCAUAAAGAAUAAAACUAUGAAUAUAGGUCUAAAAAACUACAACACUGAAAUUUUACUACGGAAUUUUGAAUGUAUUAAAAAUAACCCUAUAUAUAUAUAUAUAUUUACAUAUAUGUAUAUAUAUCUAUAUAUAUAUAUAUGUAUAUAUGUAUAAGGUUAUUUUAUAUUCCGUUUACAUACUUAAGAAGUUAAAGUUAUGUAAAGAUAAAAUAUAAAAACUGCGCAAAUGAAUAAGUGUACGUAUAAACAUAUGCAAAUGAAUAUAAGUGGGAACAUGUUGAUGGAAAAUGUGUUGCCAAAUUUUCCCUAGUAAACAGAAAAUCACAAUAUUUCCACGCAGUCUGAAAAGAAUAAAAAACAUUCCGAUACUUACGUUUGCAUAAUAAUUCUUAAUAAUUACAUAUAUGAUAUAUAAAGAAAUAAAUCUAUGAAAGUAAAUUCAAGCUAGAUAUAGAUUAAAUAUUGAAUAUUGUAAAAUUCAAAUAUGAUUUAUCUUACCGAGAAGAUUCUCUCGACAAUUCUAUGAUCGCUUCUUAGAUCCUUUGGAUAUUGACACGGAUCUGAAGUUCUCUUUUGGAUGUUCGUAACUCGUUGUUAAACUGCAAUUGGAAUUAGAAUAAUAUAAAGAAAAAAGUCGUUAAAUGUAAUUUUCUGGGUAAGAUAUUGAACGUUAUAAAAUUCGAAUAUGAUUUAUUUUUCUGAGAGGAUUCUCUUGAAAAUUCGUUGAUAGUUUCUUUGAUCUUUUAAAUAUCGUUCUGAAUCUGAAAUUCUCUUUUGGAUUUUGGAUAAAUAUUGUUAGACUAUAAUUGGAAUUAGAAUAAUAUAAGGAGAAAGAUCGAUCGAAGUAAAUUUUUGCAUAAGAUAAUAACCAGUUUAAAAUUCAAAUAUGAUUUAUCUUACCGAGAAGAUGCUCUUUAAAAUCCGUUGAUCGCUUCUUAGGUCCUUUGAGUAUUGUUCCGGACCUGAAGCUCUUUUUCGGAUGUUUGAGCAAUUUUAUCAGCCUACAAUUAGAAUUAGAAUAAUUAAAAGGAAAAACUCGGUAAAAGUAAAUUUUUGCAUUAGAUAACAACCAGUUUAAAAUUCAAAUAUGAUUUAUCUUACCGAGAAGAUGCUCUUUAAAAUCCGUUGAUUGCUUCUUAGGUCCUUUGAGUAUUGUUCCGGACCUGAAGCUCUUUUUCGGAUGUUUGAGCAAUUUUAUCAGCCUACAAUUAGAAUUAGAAUAAUUAAAAGGAAAAACUCGGUAAAAGUAAAUUUUUGUGUUAGAUAUCGAACGUUAUAAAAUUCGAAUGAUUUGUCUUUUCGAGAGGAUUCUAUUGAAAAUUCCUUGAUCGUUUUUUUGAUCUUUUAAAUAUCGUUUGGAAUCUGAAAUUUUCUUUUAGAUUUUGGAAAAAUUUUGUUAGACUGUAAUUGGAAUUAGAAUAAUAUAAAGAAAAAAAUCGAUCGAAGUAAAUUUUUGCAUUAGAUAACAACCGGUUUAAAAUUCAAAUAUGAUUUAUCUUACCGAGAAGAUGCUCUUUAAAAUCCGUUGAUCGCUUCUUAGAUCCUUUGAGUAUUGUUCCGGAUCUGAAGCUCUUUUUCGGAUGUUAGAGCAAUUUUAUCAGCCUACAAUUAGAAUUAGUAUAAUUAAAAGGAAAAACUCGGUAAAAGUAAAUUUUUGUGUUAGAUAUCGAACGUUAUAAAAUUCGAGUAUGAUUUGUCUUUUCGAGAGGAUUCUAUUGAAAAUUCCGUGAUCGUUUUUUUAAUCUUUUAAAUAUCGUUCGAAAUCUGAAAUCUUCUUUUGGAUUUUGGAAAAAUUUUCUUAGAUUGCAAUUGGAAUUAGAAUAAUAUAAAGAAAAAAGCCGGUAUAGGUAAAUUUUUGCGUUAGAUAUUGAACGUUAUAAAAUGAUUUGUCUUUUCGAGAAUAUUCUCCUGAAAAUUCGUUGACCUUUUUUUGGAUUCUUUUAAUAACGUUGGAAAUCUGAAAUUUUCUUUUGGAUUUCGGAAAAAUUUUGUUAGAUUGCAAUUGGAAUUAGAAUAAUAUAAGGAAAAAAGCCGGUAAAAGUAAAUUUUUGCGUUAGAUAUUGAACGUUGUAAAAUGAUUUGUCUUUUCGAGAAGAUUCUCUUGAAAAUUCGUUGACCGUUUCUUUGAUUUUUUGAAUAUCGUUCGAAAUCUGAAAUUUCUUUUGGAUUUCGGAAAAAUUUUGUUAGAUUGCAAUUGGAAUUAGAAUAAUAUAAAGAAAAAAGCCGGUAUAGGUAAAUUUUUGCGUUAGAUAUUGAACGGUAUAAAAUGAUUUGUCUUUUCGAGAAUAUUCUCCUGAAAAUUCGUUGACCUUUUUUUGGAUUCUUUUAAUAACGUUGGAAAUCUGAAAUUUUCUUUUGGAUUUCGGAAAAAUUUUGUUAGAUUGCAAUUGGAAUUAGAAUAAUAUAAGGAAAAAAGCCGGUAAAAGUAAAUUUAUGCGUUAGAUAUUGAACGUUGUAAAAUGAUUUGUCUUUUCGAGAAGAUUCUCUUGAAAAUUCGUUGACCGUUUCUUUGAUUUUUUGAAUAUCGUUCGAAAUCUGAAAUUUCUUUUGGAUUUCGGAAAAAUUUUGUUAGAUUGCAAUUGGAAUUAGAAUAAUAUAAAGAAAAAAGCCGGUAUAGGUAAAUUUUUGCGUUAGAUAUUGAACGUUAUAAAAUGAUUUGUCUUUUGGAGAAUAUUCUCCUGAAAAUUCGUUGACCUUUUUUUGGAUUCUUUUAAUAACGUUGGAAAUCUGAAAUUUUCUUUUUGAUUUCGGAAAAAUUUUGUUAGAUUGCAAUUGGAAUUAGAAUAAUAUAAGGAAAAAAGCCGGUAAAAGUAAAUUUUUGCGUUAGAUAUUGAACGUUAUAAAAUGAUUUGUCUUUUCGAGAAGAUUCUCUUGAAAAUUCGUUGACCGUUUCUUUGAUUUUUUGAAUAUCGUUCGAAAUCUGAAAUUUUCUUUUGGAUUUCGGAAAAAUUUUGUUAGAUUGCAAUUGGAAUUAGAAUAAUAUAAAGAAAAAAGCCGGUAAAGGUAAAUUUUUGCGUUAGAUAUUGAACGUUAUAAAAUGAUUUGUCUUUUGGAGAAUAUUCUCCUGAAAAUUCGUUGAUCGUUUUUUAGAUUCUUUUAAUAUCGUUCGAAAUCUGAAAUUUUCUUUUGGAUUUCGGAAAAAUUUUGUUAGAUUGCAAUGGAAUUAGAAUAAUAUAAAGAAAAAAGCCGGUAAAAGUAAAUUUUUGCGUUAGAUAUUGAACGUUAUAAAAUGAUUUGUCUUUUCGAGAAGAUUCUCUUGAAAAUUCGUUGACCGUUUCUUUGAUUUUUUGAAUAUCGUUCGAAAUCUGAAAUUUUCUUUUGGAUUUCGGAAAAAUUUUGUUAGAUUGCAAUUGGAAUUAGAAUAAUAUAAAGAAAAAAGCCGGUAAAGAUAAAUUUUUGCGUUAGAUAUUGAACGUUAUAAAAUGAUUUGUCUUUACGAGAAGAUUCUCCUGAAAAUUCGUUGAUCGUUUCUAUGAUUUUUUGAAUAUCGUUCGAAAUCUGAAAUUUUCUUUUGGAUGUUGGAAAAGUUUUGUUAGACUACACUUGGAAUUAGAAUAAUAUAAAGAAAAAAGCCGGUGAAAAUAAAUUUGUGUGUUAGAUAUGAAAUGUUAUAAAAUUCAAAUAUGAUCUAUCUUACCGAAAUGAUUCUCUCGAAAAUUGUCGAUCGCUUCUUGAUUUCGUUGAAUCUUCUCUUUGAGAUUUGAAGGGAUCAGAUCACAUCACAAUUACAACUAAAAUAUGUAACACUUAGCUGCUCGAUGCUCACCGAGAGAGAUCACUCGCGAUUAUGACCUACGAGAAGAUUCAGAUGUAAAAAUUCUGAUCCCCUCUAUCAUCUCGAGGAUAACUCCUCCCCCAACACGGAAUAUUAAUUGAGCAUGCGUCAUGUUUAUCUCCCACUGUGCAGAUUCCCCCACGCAUGUUAUACAUAGGUACAACCCCCAUACGAAUAUACAGUAAUCGAUAUAAGUUCCGGUAAUUUAUUAUUUUCUCUUUUUCCGAUUCUCCUUCUUUCUUUUUUACCCUAUAAGGUAAUCUCCAUAUCCGUUUUAUUUUCAUCAAUUGCUUUUUAAAGAAGCGAACGUUUUCUACAUCUUUAUAUAUAUACACACAGAAUAGAUUAAUACAGAAGCCUAAGUUAUUAAUAAAUUUUAUUGCUAACCAUAUCAUCCAAUACUUUGCCAUGGUUUAUUAAAAGUUGUUUUUUAUCAACAGAGAAUUCCUUUCACCCUUGAAGUGAUUAUUCUGUAAAUAGGGAUUUAUAUCCACAUAUACGUACACUUAUUCGUGCAAAUUCCCACUUGACUCAAGGGCUUACGCAGGGCCAAAGAGGAAUUAAAAUAUUUAAUAUAAUGGUCCUUGACGAGUCGAAUAUCGAUACAUGUAUUACCUACUAUUAUCAAACUUGAUAUAACGAUGGAAUUCGCGUAAAAUUUGCUUCAUUACGUAAACUUCUAAACAUAUAUUAAAUUAAAUAGUUUUAUAAAAUAUUCCUUACAAGUAUACAUCAUGAAUAUUAUUUGAUAAAUAUUAUCGCUCCAACAAUUUGAAAUAUUCCAAAUUUCUUCUACUUUUAAUUACGUAGAAUUAUUCAAACAUAAUUAAUUUUAAUUGAUGAAAUAUCGAUAACGAGACGUGUAAUGUGGGAACUAAUGUAUAUCAUAUAAUUGGAAUCUAUUAGGCCGUAUUAGACCUAUAAACAUACGUAAGCUAACAUCAUUAUUUUAACAGUAAAUUCUUACAGAUAAUCUUUUCGAAAGUUAAACUUCUCUUAGUUUUUUUCGGAUUUUUUUCAGAAACUCAUUCACGAUUUCAUGAUUGAAUCUUUCACUCUCCUAAUCGUUUCUAUUCUACAUACUAUUUUCUGUUAUUUCCAUAUUAUUCUUACCAUCGGCCACAAUCGUCCAUUUAACUUGGCAUUUUUGAAUUUAAAUUGAGAUUUGUUGAAUCGAUGAUUGACCAGACACCAAUAUCGUUUUGAAUUAAAUUUAUUUCUGGGAUUUAGAAAUUUUAGUAGAUUUAGAAAAAAUUAAUCAUCGAUGAGUGUAAAUUUAACACGAAAUUUUGAAUGUACUAAAAAUUACCCUAUAUAUAUAUAUAUGAAUAUGUAUAUACGUAUAUAUGUAUAUAUGUAUAGGGUUUUAAUUUUUUUUACGUGUUUUACUUUUUUUUAAUAUAUAUAUAUAUAUAUCCUUAUAUAUGGAUGAGUAUAAAUUUAAUAUGAAAUUUUGUAUGUACUAAAAAUUACCCUAUAUAUAUAUAUAUGAAUAUGUAUAUACGUAUAUAUGUAUAUAUGUAUAGGGUUUUAAUUUUUUUUACGUGUUUUACUUUUUCUGAGUAUAUAUAUAUAUCCUUAUGUAUGAAUGAGUAUAAAUUUAAUAUGAAAUUUUGAAUGUACUAAAAAUUACCCUAUAUAUAUAUAUAUGAAUAUGUAUAUACGUAUAUAUGUAUAUAUGUAUAGGGUUUUAAUUUUUUUUACGUGUUUUACUUUUUCUGAGUAUAUAUAUAUCCUUAUGUAUGAAUGAGUAUAAAUUUAAUAUGAAAUUUUGAAUGUACUAAAAAUUACCCUAUAUAUAUAUAUAUGAAUAUGUAUAUACGUAUAUAUGUAUAUAUGUAUAGGGUUUUAAUUUUUUUUAUGUGUUUUACUUUUUUUUAAUAUAUAUAUAUAUAUAUAUCCUUAUAUAUUGAUGAGUAUAAAUUUAAUAUGAAAUUUUGUAUGUACUAAAAAUUACCCUAUAUAUAUAUAUAUGAAUAUGUAUAUACGUAUAUAUGUAUAUAUGUAUAGGGUUUUAAUUUUUUUAGUUUUCAAAUUCUUCUUCUAUUUGUCUUUCCUCUUUUGCUUUGAUCAUUAUCAUUUUCGUAUAUUAUAACCCAUAAUUUUAUUUCAAAUCAUGAAAUAAUUUAACGGCAAACAUAUAUUAUACUAUUGUACAAUAAACAUUUGAGAGAAAAAUUAAAAGUAAAGUUCAGUACUCAAAAAAUUUUAUUUGUGUUCAUAUAUUUUGUGAUCGAUGUAUUAUCGAAGUUCUCUUAUUUAUCGAAUUGAAGCGUCUUCACUAUAAAAUGAUGUUACCAAGACAAGUGAUUAAAAAAUGAAAACUUUAAUAGACGAAUUUCGAAGUAUUUAUUUAACGGUUCAUUAUGGAAAUAGGGGUCAUAGGAAGGAUGAAGAAUAAGACGCAGGUCUUGAUCUAUAUUGUUUAUUAUAAUUUAUAAUGUAAAAAAUUAUAAACAAUUUAUUUAUAAGUUAAAAUACAAACAACAUUUUUUCCGAACUUAAUAUUUAAAUUAGUAAUAUUUAAUUGAUUGACAUCACAGUUAUUUAUUUGGAAAUUAAUUCAAAUUAUUACAAAUAUAUAUAAAAUAUAAUUGAAGGCCUUAUAUUGAACGAAUACAAUUACCAAAAACAUAUCAAUAUAAUAAUAAUUAUUAAUUAUCAAAAAAUCAGUCAUACCUAAAUUAUUUUAAUAAAUAUACCUAAAUUGUUUUAAUGAACAUAUUGACUAUUGAAGAAUAUACUCAAAUAUAUAUUUUUAUAUAAAAAAUUCAAAACUAAUCGUGUAAUCACUCUAAGAUCAACUCGCCUAUUUAAAUCAAGUCUCGCCUACAAAAUCAAAAAUUUUUUAAAUGAGAUCAAUUGAUAAAUUAAAUUCUAUGACAAGUAUUUAAAAAAAAAAUUUAAAAAAAAGCAGCAAAUGUUUACUAUGAGUUGAUCUUAUCAAAUAAUUCUAACAUCGAUAUUAUAGGUAUUACAUCGAUUACACACAUUAAAGACGCUUGUCACGGUUAUAUAGAUAUGACAUGCGUCAGAAAUAAUUUCAGAUAUCAGAUAUAAAGAAAUAUAAAUAUGAAAACAAUUUCCCCACUCGUUUUAACUUUUUUUUUUUUAUAUCUUUGGUUAUUAUCAUUUUUUCCAUUAGAAAAAAAAUUAAGUUUAGAAAUUUUUACGUAUAUGUUUAUAAUUAUGAUGUUUAUAUAUGUUAUAAAUUAAUUUUUUUUUCUGUUAAAAUUAUUAUAUAUAUUACAUAUACAUGCAUAUAUAAAUAAUAAAUAAGCUUUACUUAAAUUCAUUUAAAAUAUUCACCUUGUAUUAAAACAUAAUAUACAUAUAAUUAUUUUUUAAUAUAAAUAUUUAGAAAACCUGAUAAUAACCAAUCAAAAAAUUAAAGUUAAAAUGAAUCAGAAAAUUGUUUUCAUAUUUAUAUUUCUUUACUCUUUGUUCCUAAACUACUAUACUACGUAAUAAUAUUCUACAUAUAUAUAUAUAUAAAAUUAUUUGUGUUAGUCAUCUAGGUAGAAAUAAUAGUGUAUUAUAAUGUAUAUUAAGUAAGCACUAAAAAGCAAAGUGCUCGAUACGAAUGUAGUAGUAUAUAUUUGAAUAUAACAGUAAAGGAGUGCCAUUAUGUAUAUCCACAUCAUAUUGCUCGAAAGUGUUAUUGCGUGAUUUGUGCAACGUAAAACUUCAAAACGUUUUCUUAAGUAAUGUGUACUGUUUAACGCUCGAACCUGCUAUCACGUUGUCCAAAAACGCAGAACGCCUGGACGUAUGAUGAGGAACGUAGAACGUUAAACGUGUUAUCACGUGAUUCACAGAAGAAUCACUGGAUGUGAUAAUAAUCUGUAAAGAAUACAGAAAAUUACAUUUUAUAUAUAUAUAUACAUAUAUGUAUAUAUAUAUAUACACAUAUACAUAUAUCUGAAGAUAUAUUAAUAUAUAAGUUUAUCUCUAAGCUAAUUGCAAAUAAAAUAUAAUGAAUUUAUGAAGAACUAACUACAAUAUGUUUAUCUGAUUAAAAGAAAUUAUACGACGGACUGUAAAAAAAAAAUGAUUAAAGAUCAAUAUUGCAUUACGAUUGAUACAUUGAAAUAAAAUUAUAUGAUAACCCGAUAAUUAGAUAAGGAGACUGUCAAAUGUCAAAACAGGCGUUUCGAACAAACGUCAAACAAAUAUUCCUAAGUAUUUUUGUAUCAUUAGAAAUUAAUAAAUUUGUAUUUAUAUAUAUUGUAAUAUUUUAUAUUUAUAUUAUAUGAAUUUAAUAAAUUUUCUAAAUCAAAUAA